GGCUCAUGUGCAACAAGGCAGACCUGCAUACAGAAAGUGAACGGAGGAAAUCCUGGUCCAGUUCCCGGAGUCUCUGCCUCUGAGAUGAGGCUAGUAGGCAAGGAACAGACUCUCCUGAGCAUGCAGAUCUCAGCCGCGUACUGAAGAAUCGGAGCAAGGCCUACAGAGGUGCCUAAGUCAGCACCCCGCAUAGCAGAAACUCAAUAAACACAUGGAUGACUGGAUAGUCGGAUGGAUGGAUAAGUGAGAAGGCAGCUUCCUUCUAGCAGAUUCUGGAUGUGUUUGAAAGAAUGAUCCUCCACAGUGCCAUAGGCCAGCAGUUACAACACUCUACCUUUGGAGACAUACAGGCUUGGCUUUGAAUCAUGACACUGCCUUUCACUGGCUAUGAGACCUCAGACACGGUGUAAUUACAGCAAACAUGCAUUGGCGGUGAGCAGCAAUCAUGAGACAACUGUUGAGGAUUUCAGAUGCGCUUGGCGGCGGCUCCUGGAGCGCAGUGCGAGGAACCGCAGCUCCAGUUGGCCCGUGCUGGCCCGAAAACAAGGGAUUUGCAGAAGUCGGGAGCGGUGUGUUGGCACGGUGUCCACGCCAUGUCGUUCAUCAGCUAUUUCCUUGAUAGCGGGUUGCGUCUUACCACCAAGCCAACCGACUGACUUAUGAGUCAGUGACUUAAAAAAUAAAUAAAUACUUGAGGCCAGCUGUGCCUGCCGCGCAAA